UACGUAGGGAGCAAGCGUUGUCCGGAAUCAUUGGGCGUAAAGCGCGCGUAGGCGGCCCGGUAAGUCCGUCGUGAAAGUCAAAGGCUCAACCUUUUGAAUGUCGAUGGAUACUGCCGGGCUAGAGUCCGGAAGAGGCGAGUGGAAUUCCUGGUGUAGCGGUGGAAUGCGCAGAUAUCAGGAGGAACACCAAUAGCGAAGGCAGCUCGCUGGGACGGUAUUGACGCUAAGGCGC
rnacentral:rRNA from 1 species